rnacentral:ncRNA from 1 species
UCUUAUCAAGAGCAGGUGGAGGGACUAGCCCUAUGAAACCCGGCAACCGGCGUGUGAACGCACGGUGCUAAUUCUUGCGGAACUUUG